GUUAAAAAGCUCGUAGUUGGAUUUCUGUCGGUGAGUGUCAGUCCGCCCACAGCGGUAGGUACGUGAUGCGCCACCGGCAUCUUCCUGGGGAAUGUGUCUGCUCUUUAUUGAGUGGUACAUAAGCCAGGACUUUUACUUUGAAGAAAUGAGAGUGUUUCAAGCAGGCAUGCGCCGUGAAUACGUUAGCAUGGGAUAAUAGCAUCGGACCUCGUUCCAAAGCUGUUGGUUUCUUGGACCGAGGUAAAGGUGAAUAGGGAUUGCUGGGGGCAUUCGUAUUUGACUGUCAGAGGUGAAAUUCUUGGAUUUGUUGAAGACGGACUACUGCGAAAGCAUCUGCCAAAGAUGUUCUCAUUGAUCAAGAACGAAAGUUAGGUGAUCGAAGACGAUCAGAUACCGUCCUAGUCUUAACCAUAAACUAUGCCGACUGGAGAUCGGGGGUCGUUAAUUAUGUGACGCCCUCUGCAUCUUGAGAGAAAUCAAAGUCUUUGGGUUCCGGGGGGAGUAUGGUCGCAAGGCUGAAACUUAAAGGAAUUGACGGAAGGGCACCACCAGGAGUGGAGCCUGCGGCUUAAUUUGACUCAACACGGGGAAACUUACCAGGUCCAGACAUAGUAAGGAUUGACAGACUGAUAGCUCUUUCGAGAUUCUAUGGGUGGUGGUGCAUGGCCGUUCUUAGUUGGUGGAGUGAUUUGUCUGGUUAAU
rnacentral:rRNA from 1 species